ensembl:lncRNA
UGCAGAUAUCUACAUAUUUAUUCCUCCUGAAAAAAAGGAACAUUAUGUGAAACAUUGUGGAUUUUCCUCAGGUCAUAGCAGAAUGUGAUUUUUUUUAAAUACAGAAACAGUAACCUGAAAAUAAAAGUUAAGUUCUGACACAACAGUUGUGUUCAUUAUGGUGCAACAAACCUGUGAGCACAAACACUGAGCCACUGUCAUCAGACUAAGGGGAUAUUUGUUGGGUAGGUGGCAGUGAACGCCAGUGUUCAGUGAACAUCUAAACUGACAAAGACAUUUAAAAAUAAAAAUAAAGCAGUUUACAUACAAUACUGUGCAAAAGUCUUAAGUCAGCACUCCAUUAUCUGGAUUUAGCUUCUAAGGAGGCAGACUUGUUGGUAUUUUUAAACCAGUUUUGAGCAAUAGUCCACUCCCUGCGCCGGAUCAUGAGAAAUUCAGAGGAAUGUUUUUUAACACUGACCUAUAAAUUAAACAAGCAUAAAAAAGGCACCUAACCCAAGCAAUGAACCAGUGUCAUGUCUAUACGCACCAGACAAAUUAGCAAAGAACCAAUUAUUAAAUUGUAUCUUUAGGCACUUUGUUAUUAGAAGUCUGCUGCAAAAACAUAAAAAAUUAUUUUCUCAUGUAUUUUAUUGAAACUACAAAAAAUGCCAAAGGUAGUUUGACUGGCUUAAAAUACUAUUUGUGCACAAACAAGGUGAUUACCAAAGGGCGACUUCCUGAAAACUACAUACCUCAGCAUGAUGUGCAGUGUGUCUUUGAGAAAUGAGAGGAAAGAGGACAAGCAGAGGACAAAAAGAAGAAGUAGCAGUUCAAUAGCAGAUGAACAGUCAUUUUAAAGGAAGGCAAACAGGCAGAAAAGGGUGAGAUAUGCUAAAUUACACAAGAACUGGACUGAAAAUCAGCAGAAACAGGUCAUCAGGAGUUUCUACAGCGAUCUGUAAAACACAGCAAGGCUCUGUCAUGGUUUCGGGCUGUAUUUCAGUGAACGGUGUUGGGGAUUUUGUUAAAGUUGAUGGAAUUAUGAACGCUGAAAAGUACCCUAUGGUCAUCAGUCAUGGGUUGGACUACCGAGAGCCUGGACUUACUGCUAUUACUAUAACGGAUCAUACCUACAGAGAAUGAAAUAAAAAACAGCCAACAUCCAAAGAAGAGCUUUGAAUGUUCUUCAAGAAGCCUGGAGAACUAUUCCUGAAGACUUCUCAAAGAAAUUACAAGAAAGCUGACUAAGAGCAUUCAGGCUGUGUUGAAGAGUAAAAAUGGUCAUACCCAAAAAUUCACUUUUGGGCUUGCUAGAAUUUUACAAACUUUUUUCUUUGCCUUAUAAACUAUAUUUCUGUGUAUGUCGGUGUAUGUUUCAUGACAUCCCUGCACCCAUUUCCCAUUUUCCUAUAAAGAAAUGACAUGUGGCUCAAGACUUUUCCACAGUACUGCAUAAAAUUUAGGACGUACGUCUGAACGAGUCUGUAAGAUCAAGAAAAUAAGGAAAUAUAAUGAAGCUUAGAGCUCAGUGAAAACAAUGUGACAUUAGAGUGAAUAAAUAUAGUUUAGAUCUUAAAUAAUAGCCUAUGUUCAAUAAUACUCAACAUCACUGUUUCACACAUUUUCCUGUGUUUUUCACACCUCUAGCACAAUUUAUGUUUAAACUGAGUUGCCAUUUCCACAGUUGUGUUCCUGUGCAGCUGUCAGGAGUGCACAGGAACACAGAAAGAAGCCAAAACUGAAGAGAAAAGUACUGAAAUACAUCUAAACCCGAACAUCCCUCACAAAAAAAUGACAAUACUCCUUAAAAAAUAUAUAGAUUCAGGCAUAUACUGCAAUAACACUGCAUCUUAUUACUGUACUGUAGCAGAUAUGAUGGCUCAUAUAUAGAUAUAAAACCUAAGCUUUAAGAUCAUUAAAUAUGGUACAGCAUCUCUCUUUUCUGCUUAUCGCACGUCUAAAAAUCUGCUUUCACACGUCACAAUCUGUAAGCACAGAAAAGGUAAAUACAUCAGCUUCUAUGGAAGACACUGCGGAACAAACUCUCUUCAGUUUCAUGGCAAUUUCAUGUCAGAAGUGAAAACAGAAACAGACAAAACUGACACUUUUCUCACAGACUUUCUGGUAAUCUGCAAGAAGAACAAAAAAAGGCUUAAAAAGUUGUAGUUCCUUCUUCGCUCGUCAGGUCUUUCUUCUGGAUAAAAACAGUUAAGCUCCAUUAGUUAUAUAGCUGUUAGCCCUCAUGUAGUGUAAGCUGCAGUGGUAAGAGGUUCACACUACCAUUAAUCCUUUGUGACACAGGGAAAAAGGGAGAAACUGGAGAAAAGAAUAAGAAUAACUGAAGUGAUGCUCAAAUAUGGGGUUGCGCAUGCCUUCUUCGUGUGUCUCAGCUCUGUCUCCUCGUCAUCAGCAGUCACUUUUGAUUUAUUGAGUGGAAAAUGCUGCUAAAAAUAUAUUCAAAGUGCUCACACCUAACAGAAAGGUAUUUAUGUGGUUAAUCUUAAUCACAUUGAGGGUGAAUGAUAGAUGCAGCACUAUAUCUAUGUGUGUUUAUGUAACUUUGUCAUUCUUCAGAUUAGGCUGACAUUUGUCUGUUGCCGGAAAAAUGGUGGUUUUUACUAGAUCCCUGCAUCCAGGAUGCAUUUGCCAGAGAAUGAGCUGAACAUGAGAUCAUAAACUCUGUGUUCAUCUAAUCUAAUGCAACUGAGGUCCUGAGCCAUAAAUAACUGCCGAAUGACUUAUAGUUGCAGAAUUUGCAAAUAAUGUCCUGCUUUUCCACUGAGUUUAAUAAAACAUGUUUGUAAUUUAGUACUAAGCCUUUUCUUGUCUAACUGAAUGCAUUUUUUCUCUAUAAAUUACAUAAUUACAUUCACAAAACUUCACAGAAAUUAAAAAACAAAUUCUAUAUGUCACAAUUUUUUAAUGACUUAGGCUACGUUCACACUGAAGGCGAAAGCGCAUCAAAUCCGAUUUUUUUGACCCUAUGCGACCCAUAUCCGACCAUG